ensembl:lncRNA
AGAUUAUGACCUUAAUUAGAUUAAGGUUGCUGUUUACAUGGUAGUUUCUUAAUCAAAUUAUGGUCUUAAUUAGUUUAAGAGUGGAUUAUUGUUGUCCAUGUGAACGCAGUCAGUUAUAAAGUUAACAAGUGAAUAUAUGUGUACAUCGAUCGAUGUAAAGUAAAUACUGGUAUAUGCAGUAUAACUCAUUUAAAGAUAAAGAAGUCCUUCCGUGUUUACUCUUCAUGCUGUGAGCAACCAUGUUGAUUUGAUGUCACUUGCCGGACUCUGGGUUGAGGAGACCGUCCUGACUUCCUGCGUUGAGGGGGAGUCGGUCUUGCUUCUGGCAUUGUUCGUAUGAAGUGAUGUUUUGCAUAAGAAAACCCCCAAAGUUCAUUAUUAAAGUUUUUUAAACGAAAUUUAUCGACAUACAAAUCCAUGAAUAAAAACGACCUAUUCAUUAAUUCAUUAUUAAAUAAAAACAAAAACAUUAUUUAUUUAACAUUUGUCCCGAGCGACUUACCGAUGAGGAAAUACAAGCAAAGCAAAACAAAAAACUUAAUUUUCAUUAUUAAAAACGUCAAAAUUCAUUAUUAAAGAAAAUUGUCAACAUUCAUUAUUUUAAAAAAAAAGCAUACAUAUGUUUUUGUUGCUGUUUUGGUGGUCUGUUUUUUUUUUUGUUGUUGUUGUUUUUCAUUACACUGGUGUUGUCUGCCUCCUAUUGAACACAUAGAAUGUGUUGUAAUGGCAGCAACCACCCCAAAGUAUAGCCAGUGGUGCCAAUACUUUAAAUCUUUCUGACGAUACUGGGAAUAUCGACUGCAAACUUAAAAAGUUCCUACAGAUCAUUCUUCAUACCCCGUAUAUUGAGCAUAUCCUGUACGUACUGUGAUUAGGAAACAACUCUGAAAGCCCAUCGCUACUCAUUACGAUCCUGAGUAACGUGUGUGUGUGUGUGUGAGAGAGAGAGAUACAGCCCACUGAGUGUGUGUUCUGUUUUCUGUAUAAGGUGAUGAGAGAGGUGUGUGCUAACGGGAAUGGAGCAGUGGACUCUGACGGAGCCUCUUCCGUUAACAAAGCCGACCUGGAAAAGAAGUUGUCCUGUGACAGACCAAGUUCUGAUGGAGAGCCCAGUCAUGAAAACGGCAUCUCAGAUGGAAAAGAUCCAGGUAAAUCUCUCGACAUCAAUAAAUGUGCACAUCUACAAUAUCGAGUCGUGUAAAGCAUGCAAAAACAUUACUAUACUUUGUGUUCGUCACAGUUUUAACUUUUUCUACUGUGUAUUGUGGUGGUGUGUACUCGUGGAAAAAAAAUUACGGUUCUGUUGUGUUGCUGAACCAGUACUAGGAAUCACAUCCGUUUUAUAUUUACGUAUAUAUUGCAUUCAUAAGGAAUUAAAACAUGUUGUUAUAAUUAUUCAUGAAAAAUGUGUUACAGCAUACUACACAACUUUACAACUUCAAACACGUUACAAACUUACAAUCUUACAACAUAGUACACACCUUACACCAUACUACAAA